GAUCCUGGCUCAGGAUGAACGCUGGCGGCGUGCUUAACACAUGCAAGUCGAGCGAAGCGCUUAUGAAAGAUUCUUCGGAUGAAUUCAUUUGUGACUGAGCGGCGGACGGGUGAGUAACGCGUGGGUAACCUGCCUCAUACAGGGGGAUAACAGUUGGAAACGACUGCUAAUACCGCAUAAGCGCACGGUACCGCAUGGUACAGUGUGAAAAACUCCGGUGGUAUGAGAUGGACCCG
rnacentral:rRNA from 1 species